rnacentral:rRNA from 1 species
UGAGUAACACGUAUCCAACCUGCCGUCUACUCUUGGCCAGCCUUCUGAAGGAAGAUUAAUCCAGGAUGGCAUCAUGAGUUCACAUGUCCGCAUGAUUAAAGGUAUUUUCCGGUAGACGAUGGGGAUGCGUUCCAUUAGAUAGUAGGCGGGGUAACGGCCCACCUAGUCAACGAUGGAUAGGAGUUCUGAGAGGAAGGUCCCCCACAUUGGAACUGAGACACGGUCCAA